rnacentral:rRNA from 1 species
CUUUCCUUGAUGACGACUGGCGCACGGGUGAGUAACGCGUAUCCAACCUUCCCAUAACUACGGGAUAACCCGUUGAAAGACGGCCUAAUACCGUAUGAUAUCGUUUGCUGACAUCAAAUAACGAUUAAAGGUUUAGCGGUUAUGGAUGGGGAUGCGUCUGAUUAACUUGUUGGCGGGGUAACGGCCCACCAAGGCAACGAUCAGUAGGGGUUCUGAGAGGAAGGUCCCCCACAUUGGAACUGAGACACGGUCCAAACUCCUACGGGAGGCAGCAGGA